rnacentral:rRNA from 1 species
GACGAACGCUGGCGGCGUGCUUAACACAUGCAAGUCGAACGGAAAGGCCCCCUUGUGGGGUACUCGAGUGGCGAACGGGUGAGUAACACGUGAGUACCUACCCUUGACUUUGGGAUAACUUCAGGAAACUGGGGCUAAUACCGGAUAGGAGCUCCUGCUGCAUGGUGGGGGUUGGAAAGUUUCGGCGGUUGGGGAUGGGCUCGCGGCUUAUCAGCUUGUUGGUGGGGUAGUGGCUCACCAAGGCUUUGACGGGUAGCCGGCCUGAGAGGGUGACCGGCCACAUUGGGACUGAGAUACGGCCCAGACUCCUACGGGAGGCAGCAGUGGGGAAUAUUGCACAAUGGGCGGAAGCCUGAUGCAGCAACGCCGCGUGCGGGAUGACGGCCUUCGGGUCGUAAACCGCUUUCGCCUGUGACGAAGCGUGAGUGACGGUAAUGGGUAAAGAAGCACCGGCUAACUACGUG